rnacentral:tRNA from 1 species
GGAGGAGUACAGAUAAUUGGUAAUCUACCACUCUUGAAAAGUGGCGUCCGUAAGGACUUGCGAGUUCGAGUCUCGCCUCCUCCG